rnacentral:rRNA from 1 species
UACAGAGACUGCAAGCGUUAUUCGGAUUCACUGGGCGUAAAGGGUGCGCAGGCGGCCGUGUGUGUGAGGCGUGAAAGCCCGACGCUUAACGUCGGAAUUGCACCUCAAACUACAUGGCUAGAGCACUGGAGAGGGUAGCGGAAUUCACGGUGUAGCAGUGAAAUGCGUAGAUAUCGUGAGGAACACCAGAGGCGAAGGCGGCUACCUGGACAAUUGCUGACGCUCAGGCGCGACAGCGUGGGGAUCAAACAGG